ACGGUGGUUGGAUUAUUCGGACGAGGAGGCUUGUGUGCGCCCACCAAAUAAUGGAAAUAUAUUCAAUACGAACUUACCCGGCGGAAUUCCAUUGUGGCUGCUGGCUCUCGGUGGUUGAACAAAUUCAAUGAUUUUAUUGCAAAGCUGUCCACGAUCGUGGUUCGUAAACGUCUGGACUCGGAUGGUGUUCUGAUGGAGAAACAUUAUAAGCUUUCUAGAUUAUUCUACUCAUACAUUUUAUUUGUCGGUUGAUUAAUAUCUUAAUUCAA